AUUGAACGCUGGCGGCAUGCCUUACACAUGCAAGUCGAACGGCAGCACGGGUGCUUGCACCUGGUGGCGAGUGGCGAACGGGUGUGUAAUACAUCGGAACAUGUCCUGUAGUGGGGGAUAGCCCGGCGAAAGCCGGAUUAAUACCGCAUACGAUCUACGGAUGAAAGCGGGGGACCUUCGGGCCUCGCGCUAUAGGGUUGGCCGAUGGCUGAUUAGCUAGUUGGUGGGGUAAAGGCCUACCAAGGCGACGAUCAGUAGCUGGUCUGAGAGGACGACCAGCCACACUGGGACUGAGACACGGCCCAGACUCCUACGGGAGGCAGCAGUGGGGAAUUUUGGACAAAGGGCGAAAGCCUGAUCCAGCAAUGCCGCGUGUGUGAAGAAGGCCUUCGGGUUGUAAAGCACUUUUGUCCGGAAAGAAAUCCUUGGCCCUAAUACGGUCGGGGGAUGACGGUACCGGAAGAAUAAGCACCGGCUAACUACGUG
rnacentral:rRNA from 1 species